AUAGCGUAUAUUAAACUUGUUGCGUCUAAAAAGCUCGUAGUUUGAAAACUUGCCUUAGCUUACAAUCGAUCCUUUCAGGGUCACCGUUUGUUGGGAGCAAAUAUAGAUGAUUGUAUUUGCCGACUUCAUUGUUUGGCUUAUAAACGUCAUCAAAUAUCACUUUGAUUAAAUUAGAGUGCUUAAAGCAAGUGUGUUACUUGGAUAUAAAUGCAUGGAAUGAUGGAAUAUGUUGUUGUUCUAUUUGUUGGUUUUUUGAACGAUGAAAUGAUUGAAAGGAACUGUUGGGGGCAUUCGUAUUGGUGUGAGAGAGGUGAAAUUCUUAGACCACAGCAAGACGAACUACUG
rnacentral:rRNA from 1 species